rnacentral:rRNA from 1 species
UACGUAGGGAGCAAGCGUUGUCCGGAUUUAUUGGGCGUAAAGAGCUCGUAGGCGGUUUAGAAAGUCAGGUGUGAAACCUCCAGCUCAACCUGGAGACGCCACUUGAUACUUCUAUGACUUGAGUUCGGUAGGGGUAAGCGGAAUUCCUGGUGUAGCGGUGAAAUGCGCAGAUAUCAGGAGGAACACCGGUGGCGAAGGCGGGUCACUGGACCGGUUCUGACGCUGAGGCGCGAAAGCGUGGGGAGCAAACGGG